UUUUUUUUCUUUUAGCACUGCUUUGCAGCCAUCAUUGCAUAAUGGGAAGCAGUAUGUCUGGGAACAGACACAUAGUAUAUGUAGAUGACCAGAUUGAGUCUGAGGGAGAGGUCAAACAUGUCAUCAGUCAUGAAUCCCUUCAUGGCCACAAGAAACCUAAGUCCAACCCACUGUGAAUUCCUUAUUUACCACCAAAUUGCUUUAACGAUAUGGGAUCAAACCACCUGGAUUGCUGUGACAGAUACAAAUACCUUUACCUUGUGAACAGUUCUGGCUUUAAAUAUGCUUGCAGGUCAAUUUAAGCCCUUCAUGGCAUCAUGGGCAGGUUAUUUGAGGAAACCUCACUCUCCAAUGGUCUCAACAUCAGGCGUGGCAGGAAGGUAAUGCUCCAGCUCCUGUCAAUUAGGAAAUCCCAUCUUGUAAGACUCAGUAAUGAAAUGGCACUUGUCACUCAAGGUCAGUUUGGUCUUGGACCUGCUAGCCAUUUGGAAAGCCCUUAAGAUUUGUCUGCUUUCCUGGUUUGGAGGUUGAGAAAUUAGGUGAACCCAUAAUAUUAUAUUGGUUUAGUCCAUUGCCAUUUUAUGUUCUUUUGUUCAGGAUGCUUAUUAUUUUAAUAUUCUGUAUUGAUAUAUUAUAUGUUAGCCAUCCAAAGUCAUGUUUGCAAGAUGGACUGGCCAUACAUCAAUUUAAAUAAAUAAUAGAUGACUUAUAUAA